rnacentral:rRNA from 1 species
GACGAACGCUUGCGGCGUGCCUAAUACAUGCAAGUAGAACGCUGAAGAGAGGAGCUUGCUCUUCUUGGAUGAGUUGCGAACGGGUGAGUAACGCGUAGGUAACCUGCCUUGUAGCGGGGGAUAACUAUUGGAAACGAUAGCUAAUACCGCAUAACAAUGGAUGACACAUGUCAUUUAUUUGAAAGGGGCAAUUGCUCCACUACAAGAUGGACCUGCGUUGUAUUAGCUAGUAGGUGAGGUAAUGGCUCACCUAGGCGACGAUACAUAGCCGACCUGAGAGGGAGAUCGGCCAACCUGGGACUGAGACACGGCCCAGACUCCUACGGGAGGCAGCAGUAGGGAAUCUUCGGCAAUGGGGGCAACCCUGACCGAGCAACGCCGCGUGAGUGAAGAAGGUUUUCGGAUCGUAAAGCUCUGUUGUAAGUCAAGAACGGGUGUGAGAGUGGAAAGUUCACACUGUGACGGUAGCUUACCAGAAAGGGACGGCUAACUACGUG